GGAGCCCCCCUGGUGCCAAGGUAUGAGAAAAAUUUUUAUUCAUUGAUAAUCUGUUCCCUCAGUUUAGUAAUCCGUUCCCUCAAUUUAGUAAACCGUACCCUCAGUUUAGUAAUCCGUACCCUCAAUUUAGUAAACUGUACCCUCAAUUUAGUAAUCCGCACCCUCAAUUUAGUAAUCCGUACCCUCAAUUUUAGUAAUCCAUACCCUCAGUUUAGUAAACUGUACCCUCAGUUUAGUAAUCCGUACCCUCAGUUUAACAAAUGUCUGGGGCUCCGUAUAUCUGUCAAGUGAAUUAAGUUCUAUUUGUAUGUUAUAUUCUUACUGGUGUGAAUUCUGUGUAUACAUUGUCAUGUCGUGAUAUAUCCUACAUCCCAUUUUUACAACUGAAAGGCAAUAUUGCUGUAAUUCGAGGGGUUGAUCAUUAUAUAGCAGUACUAGCAGGACCGGCUACAAUUAGCCUGCAUGUUUCCUUUCACUUUCCGUGCUUUUAAGCAUUCGCUCGCUGCAAUCACGCUAUCAUGACAACCUUCUUAUCCCCGAUGUGUUGACGUUAGUGUGUUUUUUUUUUCUGGCACAUAGCGGCCACCAAAGGGGUCCUAGUUGAGUUGAGUUCUCGCCGCAGAAGUGAAAUGCGUCUGUGAUGGAUCAAGCAAUGAUGGAUUAAAAUUUUCGAAAAUUCCUUCAAGAGCAAAGAAGGUUAGAUGAUGAUGUCAUUGCCACCUUUAUUGAAGAGAAGAUUGAUUGCUACGCUGUCCAUGCAAUGACUCUAUUCAUACCAGCCAGAGUGACUACUUGUUUACACUGAGUUGACAUUGUUUACAUUACAUUUGCACAUUGUUUUUGACAAAAGAAGCCCUUUUGGUGUGGUUACAC